UGGUAAUUCUAGAGCUAAUACAUGCUAAAAACCCCGACUUCGGAAGGGGUGUAUUUAUUAGAUAAAAAACCAAUGCCCUUCGGGGCUUCUUGGUGAUUCAUAAUAACUUAACGAAUCGCAUGGCCUUGCGCCGGCGAUGGUUCAUUCAAAUUUCUGCCCUAUCAACUUUCGAUGGUAGGAUAGUGGCCUACCAUGGUAUCAACGGGUAACGGGGAAUUAGGGUUCGACUCCGGAGAGGGAGCCUGAGAAACGGCUACCACAUCCAAGGAAGGCAGCAGGCGCGCAAAUUACCCAAUCCCGACACGGGGAGGUAGUGACAAUAAAUACUGAUACAGGGCUCUUUUGGGUCUUGUAAUUGGAAUGAGUACAAUCUAAAUCCCUUAACGAGGAACAAUUGGAGGGCAAGUCUGGUGCCAGCAGCCGCGGUAAUUCCAGCUCCAAUAGCGUAUAUUAAAGUUGUUGCAGUUAAAAAGCUCGUAGUUGAACCUUGGGCCUGGCUGGCCGGUCCGCCUCACCGCGUGCACUGGUCCGGCCGGGCCUUUCCUUCUGGGGAGCCGCAUGCCCUUCACUGGGCGUGUCGGGGAACCAGGACUUUUACUUUGAAAAAAUUAGAGUGUUCAAAGCAGGCCUUUGCUCGAAUACAUUAGCAUGGAAUAAUAGAAUAGGACGCGUGGUUCUAUUUUGUUGGUUUCUAGGACCGCCGUAAUGAUUAAUAGGGAUAGUCGGGGCCAUCCGUAUUCAAUUGUCAGAGGUGAAAUUCUUGGAUUUAUUGAAGACGAACUACUGCGAAAGCAUUUGGCAAGGAUGUUUUCAUUAAUCAGUGAACGAAAGUUAGGGGAUCGAAGACGAUCAGAUACCGUCGUAGUCUUAACCAUAAACUAUGCCGACUAGGGAUCGGACGGUGUUAUUAUUUUGACCCGUUCGGCACNUNA
rnacentral:rRNA from 1 species